CCUUCUUAAAUGGAACAGCGACUGGAGAAUAUCUGAAGGUGGAGCCUGUCAGUUUGAUGUUUCUGCUGUCUUUUGCCAUUCUUCUCUUCAUCCAGUUCCUGGCCAUGUUGUAUCACAGGGUUUACACUCUGAUUCAUGUGGUGUCCUAUCGCAGCACAGAAAAAGACUACAAACCAAGAGAUGAUGAUGAUGAUGAAGACGAUGGAUCGAUUCAUGAGAACAAAUAUGCCAGUGGACUGGAAAUCACUAGUGAUGACCUUUAGUCACCAAGAACUAUGUAGCUCCAUGCAUCAACAACCAACCAGCAUUGACUGCAGCAUCAUUAAAUAGUAGCUUACUUUAAAUUGUUACUACCGGGAUAGGCUCCAGCCCCCUCAUGACCCUUAACAGGCAUAACCAAAGAAAAUGGACAAACUAUUAUUAUUAUUAUUAUUUGGUUGGUUGGGGGGGGGGGUCCUUCAGCUGUAUGAGUAGCUGGAAUUUUUCUCCGAUAUUGUAACUACAAUGUCCUUUAAUCAAUCAUUUUUAUUAAUCUUAAAUUCCUUUAAAUCAAAGCACGACUGCAACAAAGAUGUGCAAAAAUAGUCUACAAACAUUGGUAUGAUCGUGUACUCCAUGACAUGCUGAU